AUUGAACGCUGGCGGCAGGCCUAACACAUGCAAGUCGAACGGUAACAGGAAACAGCUUGCUGUUUCGCUGACGAGUGGCGGACGGGUGAGUAAUGUCUGGGAAACUGCCUGAUGGAGGGGGAUAACUACUGGAAACGGUAGCUAAUACCGCAUAACGUCGCAAGACCAAAGAGGGGGACCUUCGGGCCUCUAGCCAUCGGAUGUGCCCAGAUGGGAUUAGCUAGUAGGUGGGGUAACGGCUCACCUAGGCGACGAUCCCUAGCUGGUCUGAGAGUAUGACCAGCCACACUGGAACGGAGACACGGUCCAGACUCCUACGGGAGGCAGCAGUGGGGAAUAUUGCACAAUGGGCGCAAGCCUGAUGCAGCCAUGUCGCGUGUAUGAAGAAGGCCUUCGGGUUGUAAAGUACUUUCAGCGGGGAGGAAGGGAGUAAAGUUAAUACCUUUGCUCAUUGACGUUACCCGCAGAAGAAGCACCGGCUAACUCCGUGCCAGCCGCCGCAGUAA
rnacentral:rRNA from 1 species